rnacentral:rRNA from 1 species
UGCCGCGUGUGUGAGAAGGCCUUUUGGUUGUAAAGCUCUUUUUGCAGGGAAGAAGACCUAACGGUUAAUACCCGUUUGCGAUGACUUUACCUGCAGAAUAAGCCCCGGUUAAAUCUGUGCCCCCAGCCGCUAUAA